GCAGACCAGUAUAUAGCAUAUCCUAUGAAAUGAAGAUUGAGCUGGGGGAAAAAAAUGCUUUAUUUAUUUAAAUACAGCUCAAUUUGACUUUUUAAGCAGAGUGGAAAAGGGACUGGAAAAGUCCAAAGGAUUUGGCUAAACCUGAACCCAGAAGAUACACACGCAGAAAAACAAGUAAAGAAACAAAAUAUAAAGUUUGCGUGGAAAGACACAAAAAUUCAUGAGCAUGAUAUUUGGAGGGCCAAGGAUAUACCAAAUUUUCUAGUAUGAUUAAGUGCAGUAACUACAAAUGAGGACGGUGGAGGCAGAUGACUGUGCUAGCAGAGAACCAGGAAGAGACGAGGAAAAGACAACAGGGACACAGGAAGAGGCGUCAGAUCCAGAUGAAUAUCUUUUGGAAGGGACUACUUCUUUUCUGCCAGAAUUUUAAAAUCCGUACAUUUGUCUAGAACUUUUGAGUUUACCUGGCAAAAGUGGUUUAACGUUC
rnacentral:lncRNA from 1 species